UACGUAGGAUGCAAGCGUUGUCCGGAAUUAUUGGGCGUAAAGGGUGCGCAGGCGGUUUUUCAAGUCAGAUGUGAAAUCUCCCGGCUUAACUGGGAGGGGCCAUUUGAAACUGGAGGACUAGAGUGCAGGAGAGGAUAGCGGAAUUCCCGGUGUAGUGGUGAAAUGCGUAGAUAUCGGGAGGAACACCCAGGGGGAAACCAGUCGACUGGGCAUCUACUGACGCUGAGGUGCGAGAGCGUGGGGAGCGAACCGGG
rnacentral:rRNA from 1 species